rnacentral:rRNA from 1 species
GACGAACGCUGGCGGCGUGCCUAAUACAUGCAAGUAGAACGCUGAAGAGAGGAGCUUGCUCUUCUUGGAUGAGUUGCGAACGGGUGAGUAACGCGUAGGUAACCUGCCUUGUAGCGGGGGAUAACUAUUGGAAACGAUAGCUAAUACCGCAUAACAAUGGAUGACACAUGUCAUUUAUUUGAAAGGGGCAAUUGCUCCACUACAAGAUGGACCUGCGUUGUAUUAGCUAGUAGGUGAGGUAAUGGCUCACCUAGGCGACGAUACAUAGCCGACCUGAGAGGGUGAUCGGCCACACUGGGACUGAGACACGGCCCAGACUCCUGCGGGAGGCAGCAGUAGGGAAUCUUCGGCAAUGGGGGCAACCCUGACCGAGCAACGCCGCGUGAGUGAAGAAGGUUUUCGGAUCGUAAAGCUCUGUUGUAAGUCAAGAACGGGUGUGAGAGUGGAAAGUUCACACUGUGACGGUAGCUUACCAGAAAGGGACGGCUAACUACGUG